GGGGGUGGGGGCACCAUCUUUAAUGCUGGGCCCUGGGUCCUUCCCCUUAGGGGACUGACCAGCAAAAACAGCCUGCAGGUCGUGCAUCACAGUCACAGUCGGCUCCGGGGUAACAGGUGUGAACUCUGCCUCCACCGCCCUGGGCAAGAAACCGGGCACGCAGCACCCAUCUAACACAGCCUUUCUGUGUCCAGAGAGAGGAGGACGGAUUGGUAAGGAUCUCAAGUUCUUGCUAUGGUCUCAGCUAUAAAAAUCAUCCAGGCUUGGCGCGGAUAUUUUGCAAAAGGUGGGAGGUAAGACUUGUGAGAAUUUGCUGCCAAGUGGGAGGCGGAAUGUGGAGGCAGCUUCCUCUGUGACGUUUCUGGAGCCACGUUCGUUCACUCAGCUGGACGUCCACUGAGAAGCUCCCUAGACCAGAAGAUAACGUCUAAGUCACGGCCUCUUCCUCCAGUCCCUCCUAGGACAUCUGCUCUGGCACCCAUCUUCGGAAACUCAUCUUCGGGAGAGGAUGCAAUGCCUAUACCCCAGAGGAUGCAUGAGGACCCUCAGAGCUCCCGGUAUGACACAGGACCACGUGCCUUCAUGGACCAUGGACAGAACAUUUAUCUGUGACCCUCCUCCUGCAAGCCCGGAAGCCCACGUGACGGGCGUGCAUCUGUGGAGUGGGUCCGCUCCCACUGUGUUUGACAGGCCGAUAAACGGACCACAGCCGUGGGCAGCACCACGCCGCCUUCUGAGAGGAGAACACAGCUCUCCCCACCGUUCCAGCCACAGUGGGUUUGGAAGGACAGGGCCUUCCUCGCCUGCCCAUAACCUUCAGGGUGAGUAUUCCAGGCUGAUUUUCCUCGGGAGGAUCUGUGAACCUUCCUGGGGUGUAGGGGAGCUCUUUUUCCCUCUGGGUACAGGGAACUUUCAUCGCUCCUUUAAACUCUGCCCCAGGCUCCAGGCGAC
rnacentral:lncRNA from 10 species